rnacentral:rRNA from 1 species
AUUGAACGCUGGCGGCAGGCCUAACACAUGCAAGUCGAACGAGCGGCGGACGGGUGAGUAAUGUCUGGGAAACUGCCUGAUGGAGGGGGAUAACUACUGGAAACGGUAGCUAAUACCGCAUACCAUCAGAUGUGCCUCUAUGGGAUUAGCUUGUUGGUGGGGUAACGGCUCACAAAGGCGACGAUCCCUAGCUGGUCUGAGAGGAUGACAAGCAAACAUGCACGUGAAACACGGUCCAGACUCCUACGGGAGGCAGCGGUAGGGAAUAUUGCACAAUGGGCACAAACCUGAUGCGGCCAUACCGCGUGUAUGAAGAGGGCCUUCGGGUUGUAAAGUACUUUCAGCGUGGAGGCUUUACCCGCAGAAGAAGCACCGGCUAACUCCGUGCCAGCAGCCGCGGUAAUAC